ensembl:snRNA U6 U6 spliceosomal RNA
CGCUCACUUUAACAUCACAUUACUCAAAUCGAAACCAUACAGAGAAGAUUAGCGUGGCCCCUGAGGAAAGAUGGCAUGGAAAUUCGUGAAGCUGUUCCAUGUUUUU